UGCAUGACUACUGCGCAAAGAGAUCUGGAGAGUGUUUGUAUCUAGAUUUAAAUGAGUAUUCAGAUGAUUUUAUUCAUUAUUCUCUCCAUACAAUUAAUGCGCUUUCAGAGUAUACUGUGAGAGUCUUUUCCUUUCUGUGUGUUGAAAAAGUAUCCUUGUGCUAUUCUGUUUUUCUUGUCUAUUGUUGUAUUCCAUGUGCAUUUCUGUAGUCUGUUUUGAUUCUGCUCAUCUGUCCAACCUCUCUAUGUCCUUUCUGGCAAAGUCUAGUGACUAAAAGCAGUAGGACCAAUAGUUGUGGACAGAAUUGGACCCAUAAAUUGUACAUAGUACAUCCAGUUUGUCUUAGUCUCUAGUUUAGUCCUCCAAGUCAUGAUUUCACCUUUGCCUAAAUGAGGUUUUGAGUGUGUGCCGCUUUUGUUUCAGCCUGUAGCAGUUGUAACACUCAGCACCCUGAGAGUUCAUGCUCUAAAAUAUAAGGCUUGAUCCCUUGUGAAUUUAAAUUAUUUCCAUUUAUUCCAAGUACAGAUUUUCUUAAUCUAGGCCUAGCAUAAUAGUAACAGUGAAUAUAUUGUGUGAAUCUGUUUUUUUGGUUGCUUUCCUUUGUGUGAUUUCUUUACUUCUUUGUCAGUUUAAGCUGCUUUCUCUGUGUGUGUGUUUUUGAAGCUGCUGGAAACAUCUGUCAAAUACGCGUGCCUUCUCUGCAUAAAGUGUAUGGUGAACGCUAAGGAGAGACGCCUGAGUCACAAGAAUUGGAUCUGGACCUGAGUUGGCUGUUUGGCCAUCGAUUCUGAGGCCAUGUUGAUACUUUGAAAUUGCCAGCCAGUGAGGAAGAAGAGAACCUGCCUAUGGAGCCGCAAGAGCAAGCUACAACCCACCAGUCUCCUUAUUAGACACCUAGGAGUUGUCUUCUCUGUCCUUACAGCAGGAACUUUUGAUGAGAAACUGGUCAGACAUUCGAGAGUGGCGGAAAGCCUGUCAAGGUCACUGCCAAGGACAAGGGAGUCAAUUAGUAUGCAGAUCAGAGCCAAGGAGUUCAAAGGUAUGAUGGCAGAUUAAAUCCACGGCAGGAAACAGUGAUAAUGCCCAGUGUAGAGCCCUGUGAG
rnacentral:lncRNA from 1 species